UGGUAAUUCUAGAGCUAAUACAUGCUAAAAACCCCGACUUCGGAAGGGGUGUAUUUAUUAGAUAAAAAACCAAUGCCCUUCGGGGCUCCUUGGUGAUUCAUGAUAACUUUACGAAUCGCAUGGCCUUGCGCCGGCGAUGGUUCAUUCAAAUUUCUGCCCUAUCAACUUUCGAUGAUUGAGUAGUGGUCAAUCAUGGUAUCGACGGGUAACGGAGAAUUAGGGUUCGAUUCCGGAGAAGGAGCCUGAGAAACGGCUGCUACAUCCAAGGAAGGCAGCAGGCGCGCAAAUUGCCCAAUCCCAACACGGGGAGGCAGUGACAAUACAUACUGAUACAGGGCUCUUUUGGGUCUUGUAAUUGGAAUGAGUACAAUUUAAAUACCUUAACGAGGAACAAUUGGAGGGCAAGUCUGGUGCCAGCAGCCGCGGUAAUUCCAGCUCCAAUAGCGUAUAUUAAAGUUGUUGCAGUUAAAAAGCUCGUAGUUGAACUUUGGGCCUGGCUGGCCGGUCCGCCUCACCGCGUGUACUGGUUCGGCUGGGCCUUUCCUUCUGGGGAUCCGCAUGCCCUUCACUGGGUGUGUCGGGGAACCAGGACUUUUACUUUGAAAAAAUUAGAGUGUUCAAAGCAGGCAUUUGCUCGAAUACCUUAGCAUGGAAUAAUAGAAUAGGACGUGCGGUUCUAUUUUGUUGGUUUCUAGGACCGCCGUAAUGAUUAAUAGGGAUAGUCGGGGGCAUUAGUAUUCAAUAGUCAGAGGUGAAAUUCUUGGAUUUAUUGAAGACUAACUACUGCGAAAGCAUUUGCCAAGGAUGUUUUCAUUAAUCAGGAACGAAAGUUAGGGGAUCGAAGACGAUCAGAUACCGUCGUAGUCUUAACCAUAAACUAUGCCGACUAGGGAUCGGGCGAUGUUAUUAUUUUGACUCGCUCGGCACCUUACGAGAAAUCAUAAGUUUUUGGGUUCUGGGGGGAGUAUGGUCGCAAGGCUGAAACUUAAAGAAAUUGACGGAAGGGCACCACCAGGCGUGGAGCCUGCGGCUUAAUUUGACUCAACACGGGGAAACUCACCGGGUCCAGACACGAUAAGGAUUGACAGAUUGAGAGCUCUUUCUUGAUUUUGUGGGUGGU
rnacentral:rRNA from 1 species